AAGUGCCAAUAAAAAGAGCUGGAAUCAAAGUCAAAGUCAAAGAAAACACGUGACCCUAAAAGUUGCCAGUAGCCUUUGAGAGGCAGUGAGUGAAAACAUUUUCUCCGGUCUGUUUUAGCUUCUGGCUGAUCUUGAACGCAUCAACAGUGUACUUUAAAGGCAAACCACAGAGACUGUGGUACUGAUGUCCUCUUACUUACACUGUUUCCCACAUGCAGAUUUAGUCUGAGCUUGUUUCCAGAUGGCCUCGUGACAUCCACAACUGGCAAAACCACAGAGGUGCCAUCGUGAGAACGCUGAAGUGGACGUCCUCCAGUGCUCAGCUGUUCGCCUCCCAAAGCUUCAGGCCUUCAGUCCUGCUACAGCCUUGUUCAGAGCGUUAGAGCGUUACUGUUAAGAGCCGCCGCACUGGACAACACCGUUGUCUUUGGGGAAGAGUUGCAUGAUGGGAUAAAGGCGAUCUUUUGGGACAAAACAGUGAUGUGAAAUUUCCCAGAGCUGUCAAGAGAUCAACGGAGCUGAGCCUGAGAUCCAGCAGAACAAGGACAAAAUGUUUUGGAGAAAAAUGCAGCUCUCAUCUGAAGCGCCAACACCGUCAUUGCUCUGCUCACUGCCCACGCACCAAAUCGAACUAUUUUUACUGUGAUGUUAGCAUUACAGGCCCAGUCUGUAGCAUUGUAGGAAAGCAAAUAUAAUAUUUAUAGUCAUGUUUUAAGUGUAUAAUCACUCGAAAACAAGAAAUAGUUGUAGAAAUAUGGGAAGACCACCAUGUGACGUUGCUGCAUUUCUACGGUAUCCCAGAAUGGACAAACCAAACACUGGCUCUAGAGAGGAACGUUCACAGUUUUCAUGAUUUGGCGAGAUGUUAAGCGUUCAGCUGGUUGAAACCACACUGGAUGUUGCUGAUAUUUUCAUGUAUUUUACCGCCGGUUUUCCCAGGCCAUAACUCUGUGAUGACACCUGAGGGUGUGGCUAACACUUGGAACAAUCACUGGGGCCACACCUUAGAUACGACGUCCUGAUGUCAGGACGUCAGGUGAUUUCUGACAGCCUGCAGAGGAAGUUCAGAGAGGCAGUGUAAGCUGCUGCAGCUUGUGUGUUACCGCCGCCACCCUGUGGUGAGGAUGAGACACUGCAGGACUACACUCUGCUGAUGUUCAGUUUUUCAUGUCACUUAUUUCUAACACUGAGUUGAUAUUAACAAGAAAGAAAGACAGCAAAUCACUUUCAUAGGUAAAACAAAUGCUGAUAUCCUGUUAGCUUCAUGUAAAGACUCAAGUUUGUCUGGGAAUAGUUUGGUAUAGUCUCUUUGUUUAUUGUGUUGCCUUUAAAGGUCAGAUCCUGUCUUUCAAAUAUCCAUCUUUACAUUUAGAUUUUUCUUCCUCUCUGUUAUGAAAAGAAAUCUCUGCUGCAAAUAUGCUGUGAAUCAUCUGACAGAUGUCAGCAGGAGGACCAGAGAGAAGAUGGGAGACAAAGAGAAGUAAUGUCAUUAACAGAGAAGAAACAUGUUUUCAUGGUGGAGGGAAGCUUCGUGCUGCUGGGUGAAAGGCAGAUCAGCUCACAGCUCAGAGAUUCCUGAUUCUGGCAGCAGCAUCCUGUUGGCAUUUCUACCACCACCAGUCAACAGAGAGCGUAACCAUCCAUCAACAUGGCAAACAAACACACACUGCAACAUGCCAAACAGUGAGGCCCCAAACUGAAGAUCAUUUAAAUCGUUUUUCCUCGUUAAAACGACGCACCACAUGACUUCAGUCACUGCUGACCCACACGGCAGCCGUCGGUGUGUCUCGUAGCGGGAGGUGGACAGUCGGGAGACAUCAGCACUUCUAUCUAUUCGUCUGUGAAGGACUGUUUGAAGACUUCAUCUGUCCCUCCUGCGGCUGAGAUGUCAUGUCUCACGGCGUGUGUCCCUGCAGCUGGACACACGGCCUGCACGUGUUUUGUCCCAUUUGUCCCACAAUAAUUUACAGAGAAGAUUGAAACUUUUCUAUCAUUUCUCAUCAUGUCACUGUCGAUUUGAAUGUACAUAAAAUAAAAAAUAAAAUGUUUUAUUAUUG